rnacentral:ncRNA from 1 species
GCGCGUCCACUCCACUUCAUGGGCGGCGUACAUUUCAAAAGGAGGAUCAGCCACCCGUUGGACUCACGGUGCGGCAGCGUGGAGACCUGCCGUAAUGCGGAGCGUUCCUUUGCGGACGCCUGCGAGGCGAUCGUGCGUGGGCAGGGUCGUCAGAGUCAAGCUUAUG